ensembl:lncRNA
CUCCGGAGUGAGGGACAGUGAAGUGGUCAUGAGUGCCAAAAUGAACUCAGAGGCUCCUCCCACAGAGCUGGAACACUCCCUCCUGGACCCUCCCCCUGCUCCUCCUACUGUAGGGCCCUCCUCCUCUGAAACCAUCCUGCUCUGUGGCACUGACACUGUGGCCAAGAGCAAGCCCAGAGCCCAGUCCCACACCACCACCGCCCUCCUCCUCCCAGCUCCCGUACCCAGUCAUCAGAAAAUGGAGAUGACACAGGCCGUAACCCUGGGAGAUGGGACCAAGGCCACACCCCCCACCCUCACGGCUCAUGUUGGAGGAGCCUGUAGCAUCGUCCAUGUGCUGGAGUGGAAAGAAGGCAUGGCCAUUUUGCCCAGCACCAACCUCAAGUUCUGUGUGAGUGACGUAGGGACACUAAGCACAUUGAUCACUCCAGGGAGCACAGGAAGCACUAGCACCACCUCUGAGCCAGCAGCAGCAGGGACCUCUGGGAAAUCCACUGACUCAGACAAGGCCUCGGUGGAAAACAAAGAUGUGUCAACUCCUGUUGUCACUGUGAGGCCUCCAGUCGUCGAGCCAGAGAGACCGGUCCAGAACAGACCAGAGGUCCAGACCAAAGCCGAGGUCCAGACCAAAGCUGAGGUUCAAAACAGACCA